ensembl:lncRNA
CACAAACAUUAGCGUUUCUCUCUCGAGGUGUCUUUUGUGGCUUUAUUUAUGGAUUAUUGUGUUUCUCUUUAUCCUUUUCUGUCUUUUGCGUAAUUAUUAUUUUUUUUUCUGUCUAGCACACAAACACUUGGAUCAUGUCCUGUAAUACAGUGAUGCCGUUAUAAAUGGAAACAGAUGCCUCUACCCCUGAGGGGGAUCUCAGGGGCCCACGGCUCUCCGCUCUUGGGAACUACUGUGGGGGAUUGGCCCCCCGCCUCACCCACCAACAACGCUCACCCGAACAGAACACUGUGUGUAGGGCAGAGGCAAGCGGGACGACCUCAGGGCCUCCUAAUAAGCAACAGCAGCCAUGGAGUCGGACAUCUAAAGAGAUCCAGCAACAAUGAUUGUGCAAUGAUAUGGAAAUGACAGCAAAACCUGAGCUCGGUUACCAAACGGCAGCGCUGUGAGGGGAAGCCGUGUCCAAACUCAUUAGGGUUUCUGUAUGUGUCUCUCUUCCCUUUUGCAAGCAUUCCCACUUCUGAUCAGACUGAUUUUUUUUAAUACUUGUGCAUGCGGUGGUUGGAACCUGGCAGGCUUAGUAUAUGUGUUGUGCAACUGGACAGUGAAAAUACCCAAACCCGACUGGGCCCCUUAUCAUGUACAGCACACAAAUUAGGCAAAGCAGCAUCCAUCUGCCACACAAAUAGAGCUCCAACCCGAACCGGCGCUCUGCCAUUGUUCUGGCCGUUCGCCGCCCCUCCCGGAGUAAUUCAUGUGCCCCGCUACUCUGCUCACCCGUCACUGGCUAUUCACUUAAACCUGAAACAUUUCCAUGGGCACAAAGGCUUCAAACAUGGCUGUGACAAAGGAAAGGAUUUCUGCGUUUCUAUUCUUUUCCUCCUCUCUGUAUUUCUCCUUUCUUCAAGACAUUGUGUUGUUUAAUUGGUUGUGCUUGGUAAUUUUGUCUCUUGUCUUCUCCCAUACUGAGUGAUUGUGCGGGGACGGACGUUUGCUUUGACUGGAUCGGACAGUAGUGGGCUCCCUCCCGUAUGCUGGGAGCCAUCUACCUUUGUUAGGUACGCGGAGUUCGGUUCGGGCUCUGUGUGUGGUAAGGUUUGGGAAUCCUGCACGGAUGUCGUGGGAAUGCAGAGGAAACGUCCCUCCUCAUGCCGCUGAAUGAUCGAGAUGACCCCUCUGUGACGUGCUCAAUGAAUUCAUAUCUCCGGUCUUGCUGGUGAUUAAUGAUUCCUGGCGCUUUCAUGCCGAAUCUAUUGAAAAGCCCAGCAGUGAGCCUGUACUGUACAUUUUCUUUGUUGCAGAGACCGUGUGUGUCCUAACAUGUUUUUAAAUGAACUCUAUACUUUGGUGCUGGGCUGCUGGCUGAAAGAACAUCAAGGUUAACAGUCCAUGGAGAGAGUGGAGAGGACGAAGGAGUGUAAGGAAGAAUGAUGGUGGCUUUGUCUGUACAAAAGAGAAGAUAUAUACAUGACAUUAUAAAGUAUAUAACAAAUUGGUUAAAGAAGACAGUGACAGCUGAAGAAACUGCUCUUGUCUGUAUCGUCUUGUACCGAUGACCUUGUCCUGCUCAUCCUUGACUCUGCCCACUCGUCUUGCCAGCCGCUUUUGUUGGAUUUUGAUAGCAGAGAUCGGGAUGGAUGAAUGACGGCCUCCCUAACUCGCCUGUGACUCUUUUGUUUCUGUUCAGAUGAGUUUGAAAAACACACACAGUCCAUUCAGAUACAGGUGUGUGUGUGUGUGUCCUGUGGUGUCAGUCUCUCAGCUGUGAUUACAAUGAGGACUGACCCUGGUGUCGUGGUGAUAGUAGUGCUCUAAUGAACACUAAUGAAUCAGAUGGCUGACAAUGUGAGCACCAGGAAUCUUUUGUGUUCAUGUCACUUCAGUCAUGAUGAAGAGGUGUGUGUGUAUGUGUUGUGUGUGUUGUGCCUGAAGCUAUACAACCAAAUCAAUCUAUCAGCAGAUAAAAGAAUCAUGCAUCACACAGGAGUCCAGGAAUAGAUGCAGAUUUAGAAGAUCAUUUGCUGGGCUAUGCAAAACCUAUGCUAAUUCUCAGUGAUUGCUCUGAUGAGUCAUUUGGGUUUUGUCUUUCUUCUCUUUGUAUGUGGCUCUGCUCUACAUGGGUUUUCUUUGAGUAUUUUGGUAUUCCUUUGUUCAUCCUCAUUGUUGGAUAUAUGUUUCCAUUAGUAAUAACACAGAUUUUUACCUUAGCAAAAGCAGCUUCUCAAAUUAGCUUCAGAAACAAUGCAUUUGUUCGCAAUUACUUAUAUACAGUAUGCAUACACUGGCCUGUUGUGGCUGAUAGACAGAUAUUCAAAUUCUAUUGUAUUUUGUCAAAAUAAAUAAAUAAUAAAAGCACAGAAAACUAAAAUCAGUAAUUUAAAUAAAAGAGCUAAAAAUAAAUCAUAGCAUGCAAUAUUCAUUUGAGAUCUGUUAAAGAUUACAUCUAACAGUGUUAUAAAAUUAUUUAUAUUUUUAAUGUUUAAGAUUAAGGCAUUAGAUGAUGGCAAAGGCAAUCUAAAUGUUAAAACUGGGAAAAUGAGC